rnacentral:rRNA from 1 species
GAUGAACGCUGACAGAAUGCUUAACACAUCAGCAAUGGAUUGGUGGCGGACGGGGGAGUAACGCGUAAAGAAAUAGCCUCACAGGUAGGGACAACAUUGGAAAACGAAUGCUAAUACCUAAUAAUGGGAGAGAGCUUUGCGUACCAUUAGCUAGUGGGAGAGGUAACGACUCACAAAGGCGAUGAUGGGUAGCCGGCCUGAGAGGGUGAUCGGCCACAAGGGGACUGAGACACGGCCCUGAUUCCUACGGGAGGCAGCAGGGGGGAAGAUUGGAAGAUGGACCAAAGUCUGAUCCAGCAAUUCUGUGUGCACAAUGAAGUUUUCGGAAUGUAAAGUGCUUUCAGUUGAGAAGCGGUACCAACAGAAGAAUUGACGGCUAAAUACGUGCCAGCAGCCGCGGUAAUAC